CCACCAGUGGGGAUUCUUGCACAAUGGAGGAAACUCUUGAUGCAGCGAUNCCGCGUGAGUGAAGAAGCCCUUUGGGUUGUAAAGCUCUUUCGUCGGGGAAGAAAAUGACUGUACCCGAAUAAGAAGGUCCGGCUAACUUCGUGCCAGCAGCCGCGGUAAUACGAAGGGACCUAGCGUAGUUCGGAAUUACUGGGCUUAAAGAGUUCGUAGGUGGUUGAAAAAGUUGGUGGUGAAAUCCCAGAGCUUAACUCUGGAACUGCCAUCAAAACUUUUCAGCUAGAGUAUGAUAGAGGAAAGCAGAAUUUCUAGUGUAGAGGUGAAAUUCGUAGAUAUUAGAAAGAAUACCAAUUGCGAAGGCAGCUUUCUGGAUCAUUACUGACACUGAGGAACGAAAGCAUGGGUAGCGAAGAGGAUUAGAUACCCUCGUAGUCCAUGCCGUAAACGAUGUGUGUUAGACGUUGGAAAUUUAUUUUCAGUGUCGCAGCGAAAGCGAUAAACACACCGCCUGGGGAGUACGACCGCAAGGUUAAAACUCAAAGGAAUUGACGGGGAAUCACUAGUGAAUU
rnacentral:rRNA from 1 species